rnacentral:tRNA from 1 species
GCCUGCCUGGCUCAGUAGGCAGAGCAUGAGACUCUGAUCUUGUGGUUGUGAGUUCGAUCCCCAUGUUAGGCA